UCUCUACUCAUUUUGGAUAUUACUAUGUAAUAUACGGUGUUCUACAGCUAGGUAGAACACAAGGAACAAUAUGUAAGUAUUGUAUAAUAUUUAUUUUUAGAGAAAAACGAAGUGGACGUAAAUAACGGAAUAUUAGAAUUAGAUAAAAGAAGAAAACAAUAAGAAUAUUAUAUAUAUCGGACUGUUGUACUCUCAGUGAGACAAAGUUCGUACGUGUAAAGAAUGUCCUUCUCCUUGUAAGAGGAAUUCUCAUUUAUAUAAGGUUCUAUAUCUCGCAGUCAAGAGAAUAUUAUAAAUGCCAAAGUGUUGCAUCUCCGAGUGAGUCAAAUUUCGUACUUUUAGAGGAUGGCCAUAUGAGAGAGAUUCCUUUUAUAAGUCAAUAUUGAUAUCCCACUAUCGAGAGAUAAAUUACAGGUAUCACAGGUAAGUAUCUUAUAAUAUUUAUUUUCAGGUAAUUAAAUAAUGGAGGGAAAUAAUUGAAGUGGAAGCAAAUCUCUAAAUGUAGAAAUUAGAGGCAAGGAGGAGACAAUGGAAGUAGACAAAUGGAGAAAGCAAUAAGAAUAUCGUAUAUAUCGAACUGUUGUGCUCCCAGUGAGACAAAGUUUCCUAUUUAGAGAAUGCCCUUCUCCUCGUGAAAGGGAUUCCUAUUAUAUGAGGUUAGAAAUCUGGCUAUCAAAUAAUAUUAUAAAUAUCGAACUGUUGUUUUCCCAGUGACGCAAAGUUUCCUAUUUAUAGAGAAUGCCCUUCUCCUCGUGAGGGGGAUUCCUAUUGUAUGAGGUUCUAAAUCUCUCUAUCAAGAGAAUAUUAUAAAUACCGAAGUUGUGCCGAAGUGUUGUAUCACCCAGGGAGUCAAAUUUCUCAUUUUUCGAGAAUGGCCGUCUCCGUGUGAGGGAUUCCUUUUAUAAGUCAUUGUUGAUAUCCCCUAUCGAGAUAUUAAUUACACGUAUUACCGGUGAGUAUCUUAUAAUACUUAUUUUUAGGAAAUUAAAUAAUGAAUGGAAAUAAUUAAAGUAAAAGCAAAUUUCGAAAUAUGGAAAUUAGAGGCAAGGAGGAAACAAUGGAAUUAGACAAAAAGAAAAAAUGAGAAUAACAUAUAUAUAUCGAACUGUUGUCCUCUCCGUGAGACAAAGUUUCGUACUUACAGAGAAUGCCCUUCUCUUCGUGAGAGGGAUUCCUAUUAUAUGAGAUUCUAGAUCUCGCAAUCAACAGAGUACUAUAAAUGCCGAAGUGUUUUAUCUCCCAGCAAUGAAAUAAGACGAAUAUUGGAUGGAAAUAAAUAGAAGUACAUCCCGAAAUGUGGGGAUUAGAGGAAAGGAGAAAACAAAGGGAUGAGGAAUAUUGUAUAAACACGGACUGUUCUUCUCCCAGUGUUCUUUUCAUAGCGAGACAAAGGUUAGUACUUUUAGAUAAUCCUCUACUCCGUGUGAGAGGGAUUCCUUUUUUAAGAUAUUCCAGAGCUCGCUAUCGAGAUAAUAUUAUAAUAACCGAAGUGUUGUUGUCUCAAUGAUACAAAAUUUUUUAAUUUUAGUGAAUGCCCUUCUCCGUGUGAAAGGGAUUCCUUUAUAAAUGACGUUCUCGGUCUCGUUAUCGUAGAAGUAGAUUUCACAAAAGAAUUUCAAGUGAUAAAUCUAAAAAUUUUAGACCCUCAAAAAAAAAACGAUAUAUUUCAACAGGAAAACUCCCCCACACAUUAUAUUUAUAAGGCUGUACGUUCAAAAAGCAGGACAGUCGUUAUUUAAGUGUCACUAUCUCAUAACAGAUCGAACACAAGGUCAGCAACUAGGAAGAGGAAAAUAACCAAAUCUAGCGAUUUGUGCAGUUUGUUGGGGGAAGGGCAAUCCAAAGAGACUACAGAACAUUCGACUCUUCGAUGAUGAUACAUUCUUCUUCGGGAGACGAAUUCAGUCUUAGCCAAUGAUCUGGCUUCAGCACAGAACAAGGUCCAACUUUUAUAUCUGAGAAAAUAUUUUAGCUCCCUAAUUUACCAAGGAGCCAUGGCAUGUCGCCUAUCCUCUCCUGUGUCAUAAUUGUUAA